rnacentral:rRNA from 1 species
CACGUAGGGUGCGAGCGUUGUCCGGAAUUAUUGGGCGUAAAGAGCUCGUAGGCGGUGUGUCGCGUCGGCCGUGAAAACCUGCAGCUUAACUGUGGGCUUGCGGUCGAUACGGGCAUCACUGGAGUUCGGCAGGGGAGACUGGAAUCCUGGUGUAGCGGUGAAAUGCGCAGAUAUCAGGAGGAACACCGGUGGCGAAGGCGGGUCUCUGGGCCGAUGACUGACGCUGAGGAGCGAAAGCGUGGGGAGCGAACAGG